UUCUUAUUAUAUUAUUAUAAGUAGAACCUGCUCAAUGUAAUAUAAAUAGCCGCAGAAUUUUAACUGUGCUAAGGUAGCAUAAUCACUUACCUUUUAAUUAAAGGCCUGUAUGAACGAUUUAACAUUUAAAUUACUUUUUUAAUAAUAAUAAUAAAAAUUAAACUAAACAUAAAAAUGUGUUUAUAAAUUAAAUAGACGACAAGACCCUAUCGAACUUUACUAAAGUUGAGCUGGGGCAGCUAAUUAAAAAUAAUUUUAAUACAAAUUUUUUAAAAAAUUUCUGGUUAAACCAUUAAAAUAAGUUACCAUAGGGAUAACAGCAUAAUAUCUCUUAAAAGCUCUCAUUAAAAGAGAAGAUUAUGACCUCGAUGUUGAAUUAGAAUUUCUUUAAGACGCAAUAGUAUUAAAAGAAGGUCUGUUCGACCUUUAAAUUCCUACA
rnacentral:rRNA from 1 species